AAGUCGUAACAAGGUCUCCGUAGGUGAACCUGCGGAGGGAUCAUUACAACGUAUCCAACGUAUAAACCUUUGUGAAUUUUGUUUAUCUAAAAACUCUAAGUGGGUGAAAAGGUUUCGGCCUGACACACACUUGGAUUUAUUUUUACCAUCACAAACCAUUUGUAAACUUUAUUUUAUACACAUAAAAUGCGAAGGCGCCUAACAGCGUUAUUUCGUCAUUUCUUUUAAUUAAGAAAUUUUAUGCACAACUCUUAGCAACGGAUAUCUAGGCUCUC
rnacentral:misc_RNA from 1 species